GACGAACGCUGGCGGCGUGCUUAACACAUGCAAGUCGAACGAAGUGGCGAACGGGUGAGUAAUACGUGGGUACCCUGCCCUCCUCUUUGGGAUAAGCCUUGGAAACGGGGUCUCAUACCGAAUAAAGGGGGAUGGGCUCGCGGCCUGUCGGCUGGGUGGGGGGGUGAUGGGCUACCAAGGGGGGGACGGGUACGCGGCCUGAGCGGUUGACGGGCAACGUGGGGCGGGAGAUACGGCCCCGACGCCUACGGGAGGCAGCAGUGGGGGAAAGUACACAAGGGGGGAAAGCCUAAGGCGGGGACGCGACGUGGGGGAUCAGGUCUUUCGGGUUGUAAACCUGUGUCGCUAUGGAAUGGGUAGGUGGAGAAGAAGCGCCGGCUAACUACGUGCCAGCAGCCGCGGUAAUUC
rnacentral:rRNA from 1 species